GGACGCUGCUCAGGUAGGAGACCACGACCCCUGUCGCGCGCUCGCCAAUCUCGCCACCAUCGAAGAUCUGAUGCGGUCUAAGUCCAUCUGAUGUGCCAAUGGGACGGAGUUCGUGGAUAGGAUCGACGGAUCUGACUGCCAUCCCUAGCUUCCUCCGCCCCGACAAGCCUCUACGGUGCUGCUACGGCUCCUUGGUCGUCGUCACUGGAUGCACUUACGGGAUUGGCCACGCCAUCGCCCCCGCCUCGCGGCGACCAGAGCGAGACGCAGUGGCGGUGGUGCUCGAGGACAGGCAGCUCCCCAGGAGGAUAUUGCGGGCUUCUGGAGACCAUCUAGGACCGGAUGAGGUCUAGCCGGUUCAGAGGAGUGCACUCUCAAGGUGAACCCAGAAGACCCGGUAUGGACAAAGAGGUUUUGACAAGCAGAAUGAGGAUAUUUAUAAUCUUGGAGUUGUUCACUGGUUUUGACCUAUUUGACAAAAUUGUAAGACCCACUCUUCUUAGUGAUGUCUGUAAUGGUCAUUCCUGACUUCAAUCUGCAGUUAGAACUUUCAUCUGUUUGUAGCUUGGAUGUCUGAGCGUAUGGUGGCUCGGAUGUACCUUGAAACAUAUUUUUAAAACUUCAUUCUGUUGAAUUUGACCUCGCAAGACACUCAAAAUUAACAGAUUUUUUAUUUCAUUGCACCAGUAACUCAAUUAUUUAUUGGACCAGUAACUCAAUUAUUUAUUGCACCAGUAACUCAAUUAUUGCUACUUGUAAAUUGUAAUCCAUGUUGUAUAGUGCAAAUUGGAAGAGCAUUGGAUUAGACCUGAUCAUGGAUGCUUUGCAAUCACCUUCUACAUGGCCUUUGGAAUUUGAGAAGAAACAACAAGAGAAUUACUUUUUCUUCCUAUUCAAAGGAUAAUCAGCUGACUCCAUUUACAUGGAAGUUGAGCUUCAGAGUCUAUCGUUCCUUAGAUAUACUUGCUCUAGGGAAAGCACUCCCAGCAAUGUGUUCAUAGUCAGGUUCAGUUCUUCCCAGUUUUGAAGUAAGAAAUUCCUAACGCACUAUUGGUCUGUAUUUUUUUACAUAACCUUGAUGAGACGGAGAAAAGCAACUCAGGGUGUCUGAUCUAUGCCGCACAAGGAAGUUUCUGCUCGCAAGAGGGAGAUUCCUAACGCACCUCUUUCAAGUGGAGCUGGAGGAGUUAAAUUUUUUUUUUUGAAGAAAUAUCCUGUUGGAAUCAUUCGAUGACUACAUUGUUGAUAGAUUGUAAUACAUUCAUCUGAUGAUUUGCAUUCACCUUAAACCUCCUUGCCUGCUUUUGGUAUCUACAGACUAGAUGAAGUAAGGUUCUACUAUGGAUGUUUCAUAAAUAAUAUGCAUACAGAAGCUAAACAUCGGAUCAACUUCACCACGAGGGCAAGAGGUUGGAUGUUGCUUUAACUUAUUCAUAGUGUUCAACUUUCAAAUCAACUUCUGGGUAGAUGUAUUCUAACUUUUUUUUGCAAUAAAUAGUAGGCAAACCUGGAUAAGUUUUUUUCAAACCAUUAGAUAUGUUACUAUCAGUAUUCAUUAGAUUUCUGUUGGGGCUGGAGGUGUAAGCAAAGGAACUCCUAUCAUUUAUCAAGUUACACAAAGUUCAUGUCUGUAUUUCUGUAGAGGUUGGAGUUAAGCUAGGAAGUUUCUAUUCUUUUUUAUCUGAUGUGAAGUUGAUGUAUGUUGAUUUCUUCUGGGGACUCGUGGCUUCAUCUGGGGACUGGAGGUGGAACCGCUGUGGAACCACCGAGCAGGCUGAGGCGUCCGCAGCGUGGCCAUCGAGGGGCUCCCAACCACAGCGCAUUGAUGUCGACGUGUUUCUGGCCAAACACCCAGCGAACUGUUGCCCUGUCGUGUGCUGCCAGUAAACUGUUGUGUUCAGGGUGGAAGAAUAUGGUGAUGAUAAGAUGGAGAGAGAGCCCGUGAAAGUACUGCUAAGUUUAAGCUUAGUAUCGAAGAGUUGGAAAUUCUUAUUGAAUCUUACUGUGUGCAGACGGCGUGAUGAAAACUUAUUUGUGUUAUUGCAGUAGCAGUUAAUUGGCCUGGGACCAAGCACGGUGUGUGACCACUCUGCCGAUGGCGGCGGCAUGGACUGAGUAAUUCAACAACCAUCUGUUCGUGCAAGACAUACAGAUGUUGGACUGGGCAUGUAAUUGCCUUGGCAAUAAGAUGAUAAGAGAAUAAAAGUGAUGAAUAUAUGUGCACCACCCAAACAUUCCCUGUGAAACAUUUUUCGUGUCCAUGUGUGGGUAGAGGAAGAACAAUAUUUUAUGUUCUCGAAGAUAUGAUGGAGAGUAACAAAUGAGUAGCAAUCUGAGAGAAAAAUGAAAGGAAGAUUAUGCCUUCCAUGUCCAUUAGCUCCAAGUUGAACUCUAGAGAUGGAUGAAAUCGAAAGGAGGGGGAGAUGAAGAAAUAAUGGACCAUGUGUUCUGGUCUCAUGCUAAGAUAUCUUCAACUAUCUAUUUUUUUCUGCGGAAACACAAGGGAGCUAUUACUGUUUUUACUCUUUUUCUUAUUGUUCUAGCAUGAGUAGAGGGGCAGGAUGGGCGAUUGAAGAAGAAACAGAGACAAGAUUAUCUUCCUUAGUUGUGGCAUGAAAGAGAUAUCACUAAAACGAGAAUGUUGUUGUGGCAAAUAAGAAAUGUUUAGAAAUACCGCCAAUUUGUAGUGCUACAAGCAUCUGACUUUUUUUUACUAUAGCAAUGCAUGGAGUGAAGGUGCAAAGAUAAGUUUUCCAGGAGAUGCGCUGAGAGGUCUAGCGAUAACCAUAGGGAGGCCAACUCUUUUUCAAUCAACUAAUCUCAAGGAUGGGAUGACACGAGUAAGCAAUGUAACAGAGACAAAAACGGUGAGUGGCAUGACCAGACCAAGCAUAAUGGGCCGACUAAUAGGUCUAACAACGUCACACGAAAUUGUACAUUGCAGGGUGAUGUAUGUAAACCUAUUUCUUGAAGUAAUGUUCAAGGCAGGAACUAAAAAAAUCGUAGUCAAUAAGA